UUAAUUACUUGAAUGGGGUCAAUGGAUGAUCAUGAAGGUCCAUGGCGAGUCUGAUGACCUCCAUUGUACUUAGGAGGGUUGUUAUUCUCAAGUAGGAGAGCUUACAUCAUAAUUUGAGGUAGUGGGGUCAGCAUCUGCCUGGCUCCUA
rfam:Glycine soja cultivar W05 scaffold2990_31, whole genome shotgun sequence.